ACGGCAACAUCAUGUAGAAAACACCAGUUCCUGUAUGAUCACCAAAGUUAAGCAAUAUUGAGCCUAAUCAGUAACUAGAUGGGUGACCACUUGGGAAAACCAAGUUCUGUAAG